GCAUUAAAGUUGGGAUGGUUUUCUAAUUCACGGACCACGAGUUCGACAACAUCGAGAGGAUGCUUUUGGGUUUGGAGAGCGUCAACACCGAUCCGGAGGCAGUGGCGCAGAGCGGCCUCGCGAGGAAGACGUCGUUCAGGUGGCAUCGAAAGUGAUAUAUCACCCGCGCCUCCGUGUAGUGCGAUCGCCCAACCCAUUUUCCGCUCUCCGUCUCCCUAUGGGAAACUCUCCCCGCUGCUCUCCUACUUCCCUUGGGCUGUUGGAGGGAACGUAAAGUCUGGAGACUUCUGCCCCUGG
rnacentral:misc_RNA from 1 species